rnacentral:rRNA from 1 species
GACGAACGCUGGCGGCGUGCUUAACACAUGCAAGUCGAACGGAAAGGCCCUGCUUUUGUGGGGUGCUCGAGUGGCGAACGGGUGAGUAACACGUGAGUAACCUGCCCUUGACUUUGGGAUAACUUCAGGAAGCUGGGGCUAAUACCGGAUAGGAGCUCCUGCUGCAUGGUGGGGGUUGGAAAGUUUCGGCGGUUGGGGAUGGACUCGCGGCUUAUCAGCUUGUUGGUGGGGUAGUGGCUUACCAAGGCUUUGACGGGUAGCCGGCCUGAGAGGGUGACCGGCGACAUUGGGACUGAGAUACGGCCCAGACUCCUACGGGAGGCAGCAGUGGGGAAUAUGGCACAAUGGGCGGAAGCCUGAUGCAGCAACGCCGCGUGCGGGAUGACGGCCUUCGGGUUGUAAACCGCUUUCGCCUGUGACGAAGCGUGAGUGACGGUAAUGGGUAAAGAAGCACCGGCUAACUACGUG